ensembl:snRNA U6 U6 spliceosomal RNA
GUGCUCACUUGGGCAGCAGGUUUACUGAAAUUGGAACAAUACGGAGAAGAUUAGCAUGGCUCCUGCACAAGGAUGACAUGGAAAUUCAUGAAGAAUUCCAUCUUCUU